rnacentral:lncRNA from 1 species
GGGCAGGGAGCCCCUUGACAUGUGGAAUGUGAUCUCUGUUGGGUGCUGGUGGAUCCCACAGGUGGUCUGGCAUGGAAGAAGGCCAGAGGCUGCGAUGGAUCAUCUUUGUCUUGGGAGAUUCCUGGAGAUGGUGGGGAGCCCCUGGGCACGUGCAGCAUAUGUGGCGUGGGCUUCUUCAGGUGCUGGUGGAUCCCUCAGGAUGCUUUUCAAGGUUUUUCUAUGAGUUCUGUUAAAGAGUCUGAAAAUGGAGCGUAGAAGACAUGCUUCGAUUUCCAGGAUGGUUGUGUUUUCCAGAGAGGCGGAGGUAAACCACUGGCGCAGCCCUGCCUCCCACAGAUAAUUCCGGGUGCAGUGUUUCAUAUCUAGACUUGGACUUCUAUCCUACCAUACUUCUUUGUGUGCAGGCCAUGUUUUCGCAGGCAGUCUUGCUAUCAGAGCUGAGGGGAUGCUGUUUUGAUCACUUAGUUUAUCUGAUGUUGCUGGGCCUCCAACUGGUGCUGACUGGUACUUCCUGAGAUGGCGAAGGUUUUUCUGUACUCUGAGAUGCCGUGUAUCUC